rnacentral:rRNA from 1 species
CUACGGGACGCAGCAGUGGGGAAUAUUGCACGAUGGGCGCAAGCCUGAUGCAGCCAUGCCGCGUGUAUGAAGAAGGCCUUCGGGUUGUAAAGUACUUUCAGCGGGGAGGAAGGGAGUAAAGUUAAUACCUUUGCUCAUUGACGUUACCCGCAGAAGAAGCACCGGCUAACUCCGGUGCCAGCAGCCGCGGUAAUACGGAGGGUGCAAGCGUUAAUCGGAAUUACUGGGCGUAAAGCGCACGCAGGCGGUUUGUUAAGUCAGAUGUGAAAUCCCCGGGCUCAACCUGGGAACUGCAUCUGGAUACUGGCAAGCUUGAGUCUCGUAGAGGGGGGUAGAAUUCCAGGUGUAGCGGUGAAAUGCGUAGAGAUCUGGAGGAAUACCGGUGGCGAAGGCGGCCCCCUGGACGAAGACUGACGCUCAGGUGCGAAAGCGUGGGGAGCAAACAGGAUUAGAUACCCGGGUAGUC